GAGAGUGUAGCUCAGUCGUAGAAUUCAUGUUUAGCAUGUAUGAGGCCCUGGGUUUGAUCCCCAGCACUGCUA
rnacentral:tRNA from 1 species